rnacentral:rRNA from 1 species
AGCUUGCUCCCGGAUGUUAGCGGCGGACGGGUGAGUAACACGUGGGUAACCUGCCUGUAAGACUGGGAUAACUCCGGGAAACCGGAGCUAAUACCGGAUAGUUCCUUGAACCGCAUGGUUCAAGGAUGAAAGACGGUUUCGGCUGUCACUUACAGAUGGACCCGCGGCGCAUUAGCUAGUUGGUGGGGUAAUGGCUCACCAAGGCGACGAUGCGUACCCGACCUGAGAGGGUGAUCGGCCACACUGGGACUGAGACACGGCCCAGACUCCUACGGGAGGCAGCAGUAGGGAAUCUUCCGCAAUGGACGAAAGUCUGACGGAGCAACGCCGCGUGAGUGAUGAAGGUUUUCGGAUCGUAAAGCUCUGUUGUUAGGGAAAAACAAGUGCGAGAGUAACUGCUCGCACCUUGACGGUACCUAACCAGAAAGCCACGGCUAACUACGUGCCAGCAGCCGCGGUAAUACGUAGGUGGCAAGCGUUGUCCGGAAUUAUUGGGCGUAAAGGGCUCGCAGGCGGUUUCUUAAGUCUGAUGUGAAAGCCCCCGGCUCAACCGGGGAGGGUCAUUGGAAACUGGGAAACUUGAGUGCAGAAGAGGAGAGUGGAAUUCCACGUGUAGCGGUGACAUGCGUAGAGAUGUGGAGGAACACCAGUGGCGAAGGCGACUCUCUGGUCUGUAACUGAC